rnacentral:rRNA from 1 species
AGAACGAACGCUGGCGGCAGGCUUAACACAUGCAAGUCGAGCGCCCCGCAAGGGGAGCGGCAGACGGGUGAGUAACGCGUGGGAACAUACCCUCCGGUUCGGAAUAGCUCAGGGAAACUUGGAUUAAUACCGGAUACGGCCUAGCGGCGAAAGAUUGAUCGCCGGAGGAUUGGCCCGCGUCUGAUUAGCUAGUUGGUGGGGUAAUGGCCCACCAAGGCGACGAUCAGUAGCUGGUCUGAGAGGAUGAUCAGCCACAUUGGGACUGAGACACGGCCCAAACUCCUACGGGAGGCAGCAGUGGGGAAUAUUGGACAAUGGGCGCAAGCCUGAUCCAGCCAUGCCGCGUGAGUGAUGACGGCCUUAGGGUUGUAAAGCUCUUUCGCUAGGGACGAUAAUGACGGUACCUAGACAAGAAGCCCGGCUAACUUCGUGCCAGCAGCCGC